CGGGGAGGUAGUGACGAAAAAUAACGAUACGGGACUCAUCCGAGGCCCCGUAAUCGGAAUGAGUACACUUUAAAUCCUUUAACGAGGACCAAUUGGAGGGCAAGUCUGGUGCCAGCAGCCGCGGUAAUUCCAGCUCCAAUAGCGUAUAUUAAAGUUGUUGCGGUUAAAAAGCUCGUAGUUGAAUCUGUGUGUCACAGUGUCGGUUCACCGCUCGCGGUGUUUAACUGGCAUUAUGUGGUACGUCCUACCGGUGGGCUUAGCUCCUCGCGGGCGGUCCAACUAAUAUCCCAUCGCGGUGCUCUUCAUUGAGUGUCGAGGUGGGCCGGUACGUUUACUUUGAACAAAUUAGAGUGCUCAAAGCAGGCUACCUUCGCCUGAAUACUGUGUGCAUGGAAUAAUGGAAUAGGACCUCGGUUCUAUUUUGUUGGUUUUCGGAACCCCGAGGUAAUGAUUAAUAGGGACAGAUGGGGGCAUUCGUAUUGCGACGUUAGAGGUGAAAUUCUUGGAUCGUCGCAAGACGGACAGAAGCGAAAGCAUUUGCCAAAAAUGUUUUCAUUAAUCAAGAACGAAAGUUAGAGGUUCGAAGGCGAUCAGAUACCGCCCUAGUUCUAACCAUAAACGAUGCCAGCUAGCGAUCCGCCGAAGUUCCUCCGAUGACUCGGCGGGCAGCUUCCGGGAAACCAAAGCUUUUGGGUUCCGGGGGAAGUAUGGUUGCAAAGCUGAAACUUAAAGGAAUUGACGGAAGGGCACCACCAGGAGUGGAGCCUGCGGCUUAAUUUGACUC
rnacentral:rRNA from 4 species